UCCUACGGGGCGCAGCAGUCGGGAAUAUUGCGCAAUGGAGGAAACUCUGACGCAGUGACGCCGCGUAUAGGAAGAAGGUUUUCGGAUUGUAAACUAUUGUCGUUAGGGAAGAUAAAAGACUGUACCUAAGGAGGAAGCCCCGGCUAACUAUGUGCCAGCAGCCGCGGUAAUACAUAGGGGGCAAGAGUUAUCCGGAAUUAUUGGGUGUAAAGGGUGCGUAGGCGGGACGGUAAGUCAGCGGUAAAAAUGCGGAGCUCAACUCCGUCGAGCCGUUGAAACUGCCGUUCGU
rnacentral:rRNA from 1 species